UACGAAGGGGGCUAGCGUUGCUCGGAAUCACUGGGCGUAAAGGGUGCGUAGGCGGGUUUUUAAGUCAGGGGUGAAAUCCUGGAGCUCAACUCCAGAACUGCCUUUGAUACUGAAGAUCUUGAGUUCGGGAGAGGUGAGUGGAGCUGCGAGUGUAGAGGUGAAAUUCGUAGAUAUUCGCAAGAACACCAGUGGCGAAGGCGGCUCACUGGCCCGAUACUGACGCUGAGGCACGAAAGCGUGGGGAGCAAACAGG
rnacentral:rRNA from 1 species